UGUUAAAUCAAGACCAUUUAUUUAUUCAGUCAAGUACUUUCUUUAACUUUGUCCUAGACAUGAUCUCUGCUCUUAUAGCUGUAGUAGUUUGAGUUUAAUGGGUGUAUAUUGACUCAGAGCUCUAGAUGGCACUAUCUUCAUGUGAAGCCUCACCAUGUCAGGACUCCUUUCUCUCCACAGAGACCAAAACAAUUUAUAACAAACAUUUUUUCUUGGGCACUAUUUAUUUAUGUUUGCAUGUAUGUAUGUUCGCUUGUAUUUAACCAUAUAUUUUGGCAUUUUAGGGGUCAUCAGAGUAUUUUGGUUUCUUUGCUGAUAUGUGACCCUGGACCACAAAACCAGUCAUAAGUUGUAGGGGUAUAUUUGUAGCAAUAGCCAACAAUACAUUGUGUGGGUCAAAACUAUCGAUUUUUCUUUUAUGCCAAAAAUCAUUAGGAUAUUAAGUAAAGAUCAUGUUCCAUGAAGAUACUUUGUAAAUUUCCUACUGUAAAUAUAUCAAAAAUGUAUUUUUGUGAGUGGAUAUGCAUUGCUAAGGACUUCAUUUGGACAACUUUAAAGGCGAUUUUCUCAAUAUUUAGAUUUUUUUGCACCCUCAGAUUCCAGAUUUUCAAAUAGUUGUCAAAUAUUGUCCUAUCCUAACAAACCAUACAUCAAUGGAAAGCUUAUUUAUUCAACUUUCAGAUGUAUAAAUCCCAAUUUCCAAAAAUUGACCCUUAUGAUUGGUUUUGUGGUCCAGGGUCACUAUAACAAACAUUUACAUUUUUGAUUUGUCUGUUUCUGAGUUCUGUACAUUAGCAGCAUUUAAAUUCCCAGAACAGGAUUCUGAUUCAGUCUGAUAUUUUUACUAUUGUUGAAAGAUAAAGCAAAGUUUUAUUUAUUUUUUCUCUGUUAUUUUUAAUUGUUUUUAUAUAAACCGAUCAGCUGUAGUUGUAGUUUAUCAGUUGUUUUAUUAUGCCACUAAUUGCAUUCUUGUCUUAUAAAUGUAUUAGGAAAAAAAAAAGAAUCUUAAGUUUCCAACGAAACAGACAAUUUCCUCAUGCAUUUAAUUUUGGCUUUAACAGAAAUGCAAUUAACUGCAUCUUAAGAUUUUAUAUAGGCUUAUAAAAGUGCAUAUGUGCUUGUGUCGGUAUAAAAUGACUUUUUUUCCCCUUUUUGUUAAAAUUGAGUAACAGCUGCGUAUUGUUUAGUUCAUUUUAAUCUCGUAUCUCACCUUCUAUCAGAGUAAUUUGCACUUGUGCUCUUAUUUUAUUUUCUCUCUUUAAUUGCAGCACAUUUUUUUGAACAGUGAUCUCAUACCUUUGACUAGCUCUUUAGUUCCCCCCUCCUCAUCCUGCUGGAUAGUUCACAUAAAAAAAAAAAUAAUAAUAAUAAUAAUUUUCCUGUUUGCAUGUGAUUUAGAUUGGGUAUUAUUAACGCUGUGCUGUUCCUGCCAGAAAAAAAAAAGUAAAAAAAAAAAAGAAAAGAAAAAAGCUUGAAUUCAAGAAAUUAAACACUAUUGAUAUGCAGUCCAAGUACAACAGUAUUUUUGAUUGUUUUGUGUCAGGUCAAUAUAACAGGAAGGGUAGCGAUUAAAUAAAUAUUAGUAAUUUUUCAUCUCUGUGUCAUACACAUGCAAAAUCAAUUACAAUAGUAUUUCCGGUGCAGUUCCCCUCUCAAACGGCCGUUUGUGUGUCAGAUCUCAGAGCAUGACUCUGCUGUUGACAGUAAAGGAAGGCGACGCUUUAAUCUGUGGCUUGGUUUAAGACAGGAAAUAUUGAAUGGAGAAAAUUUACCAAUAAAUCUGUUUUAAUUAGGAAACCAAAAUUGCUUAAUGCCACUUAAUUUGACUUUUUUCCAGCAGCACCGGCAGUGGUGAAUUGCGGCGAACAGCGGAAGAUAGAAUUGCAAAUGAAUGUUCCAGACUUUCAGCUCCUGCCUCCUCAGAUGCACUCGCCUAGCGCUGUUUGCAAAGACGGAAAUGGAUGCAUUGUGAAACCCAGGAGCCUGUAAGGAAGCCCAGGUGGAUUGGAUCGAUGGCCGUGACGAGGCUCUAAAUGUGAAGAGUCAGCACAUGAAUAAGAAGGCUGCAGCAGGAAGUGGAGGACAGAUCUUCAGGAACUAGAGAAACAGCUGGUCACUGGCCUGGACUGUGCGUGCUCCCCAGGCCUGUGAUCUCAUUCGCUCGAUGGACGUCCCUUGACGUGGCGAAACAGCAUCUGACUUUUCGUUCAUCACUAAAUCAAGCUGAUGAUCAGGAGCAAGUCCAAACAGCACACAUCAUGCAGACAUUUUAUAAAGUUGUAUCCAUUCAAGCUUGACUUCAUGUGUUUUUGUGUAUUUGCAGAACUGUUUUAUGGGGUAUAAUGAGAGCGGAGAGUCAUUCAGUGGACAGAACAACAUUAACUCAAAAGAGCACAUUGCACUGAGGUACUGUGUUCCAGGGGGUUUCAAAAUGGGCUCUGCAAGGGUCUGUGGAAAAGAAAAUGUUAAAAUGUACAGAAUUUUAUGUUAUUAUGGUUUCAUUCUGAUCUACAGUAUAUGGAUUGGUCGAACAUCAUAGUUUAAUCACAAAACACUUUCAUUCUAUUGACAGUUUAAUGUUUCUUUUUAGUUUUAUACAUCUAAACAAUUCCAAUGCUCCUCCAUAAUUAUAGUUAACUGAAACAAGCUAAAACCAUAAACCUUUUUUGUUGUUGCUUUAAAUUUAACUUGAUGGUCAUUAAAUUGAUAGAGAAAUGAUUUAACUUAAUUUAACUUGAUGAUGUCCUAAAAUAACUAAAACUGAAAUAUUGUAACACACAACAAAAUUACUAAACUAACUAAAAUGAAAAUAGAAAAUAUAUAUUAAAAAAAAGUCAAAAAAUUUAUUUAAAAAAAAUAUAUAUAUGUAUUUAUAUAAAAACUAACUAAAAUGAAAAUGGAAAAC